ACAGCUGAGCCGUCGCUCAGCUCAGCUGUCCUGUCUGUGUGGCCGCUGUGCUGCAGUGGGGACGGGAGUGCAGGGCAGGAGGUCCGCGUGUGCUACUUGGGGAGGAAGUUUCAGUUUUAUUAAGCUGCUGUAUGGUUUGAUUGGAAACAGGGACCGGCGUCCUAUUAGUGCAUUGGUGGAGGGUAUUUAAACGAGAUUCGGAUGUUUAGAUGACUGAGCGACUUUGUCCACUUCAACGGUUAUGCUGAGGUAACCCCGGGACGCGGAGGAGCUGCCACGGAGUGGGCUGAUGCACUAAUCGGACGGGAUCUGAGUGAGAGAAAAAGGAGCCCUGACCGCUGAGCGAAGCGGAGGAGGAUACACGGACUUACUAGACGCUGGCUCCGGUGACUCAGGGCGGCAUUGUGAGGCUCCGGUUUUCGGUGACUCGGCCGGAGAAGGCGGUCCAUGAGGUAAGAGUGGCAGCAGAAAGGGAGGACAGAUAGGAAGAGACUUAGCCCCAGCUACGCCUUCUGGGUGGCAGCAUCAACCUGACAACCAACCCGACCAGAGCAGCAGGGAGGCAGGAUCAGUGAGAGAGGAAGGGGCUACCGACACCCCAUAUAAGACAAGGGGUUGCUCCUAAGAAUCUGUUAAUGAGACGGCUUCAGGCUGAAGGGGAAUUAGAAGGAAUACCCCAAUAGGAAAUGCUAUAAAAGGGCUUUCCUAAUAGCAAGGGCUUUACACUGAAGGGACUAUGUUCCAGUGCUAUACGUCAGGUUCCUAUAAGUGAGCAACAUAAAGUGACAUUUAAGGUAUAGUUAUACUGCAAUUGACUGUCAGUUCUGGAUCCUACACUCCCAUCCUAAAUAGAAUUCAGUCAGCAAAGAUUAAUACUUUAUCCAUACACUGAGAAACACUUACCAAUGACUCAGGGUCAGCACAGAGAUUAGUAACCAGAUGCAGAAUCUCUCCGGUCAGAUUUUCCUAUUAUCUACUCCCAGAAACUUCUCUCACCAGUGGUGACCAACUAAAAUAAAUAAAAGUUUAUUUUACAUUUCUUCUCGAGUUUCAUCUAUGGAGGAGUCAGAGUGUUAAAUGGAGUCAGACAAAGUACAGCUAUUAGGAGAAAGUUACAAGCCAAUUAAUCUGGACUACGUUUCAGUUGACAUGCUUGUCUUAUUUAUUUGUUGGCACUCAUUCAUUUCUAAUUAGAGAGGGAGAAAUUACAGAAGUUACGAGUGAGAGAGAUUGUGACGGAGGAUUGCAAAACUCGGAUUGGGAAUAGUCUUACAAGAAACAAGAAAUUGUUGCUAAUUGCGUCUCCUUCUUCAAUGCCUAAUCAACAAGAGACUUCAUGUGCACCAACGUUAUGGCCAUUAGGUACUACACAGUAUAGAUAUUUAAGAGACCAGUCAUAUGGGGUGAUUUAGACUCAAGACUACAGUAUAUACAGCUGGAACCACUGUGAGGUUUUGUUGAUUACAAUAUUGCUAUUUAUAAGGAUUAUUAAAUGUUGAUAUUUGUGUUGUCACUAAUCCAAAUAUUCUUCCUGAUUAGGAUGGAGUUCUGCGGAGAUCGACUGUUGCUGUAAAAUAAAAAAAAACUUAAUUUUAUUUCCUUUACGCAAUGAUAUUGUGAUGCAAACUCUGAACUACUUAAUUGUAAUAUUUCUAAGUCUUGUGGUAAGCAAUACUGAAGGGUAUAUUUACACGCUGUUGUCAUAAAAUAAACCGAAAAAUAUGUUUUAAUCCCGUA